rnacentral:misc_RNA from 1 species
GAUGAAGAACGCAGCGAAAUGCGAUACGUAAUGUGAAUUGCAGAAUUCAGUGAAUCAUCGAGUCUUUGAACGCACAUUGCGCCCCCUGGUAUUCCGGGGGGCAUGCCUGUCCGAGCGUCAUUGCUGCCCUCAAGCACGGCUUGUGUGUUGGGCCUCCGUCCUCCUUCCGGGGGACGGGCCCGAAAGGCAGCGGCGGCACCGCGUCCGGUCCUCGAGCGUAUGGGGCUUCGUCACCCGCUCUUGUAGGCCCGGCCGGCGCUUGCCGACACAUCAAUCUUUUUUCCAGGUUGACCUCGGAUCAGGUAGGGAUACCCGCUGAACUUAAGCAUAUCAAUAAGCGGAGGA